AGCGAACGCUGGCGGCAGGCCUAACACAUGCAAGUCGAACGGCAGCACGGGUGCUUGCACCUGGUGGCGAGUGGCGAACGGGUGAGUAAUAUAUCGGAACGUACCUUAUUGUGGGGGAUAACGCAGCGAAAGCUGUGCUAAUACCGCAUAAUCCCUAAGGGGGAAAGCGGGGGACCGUAAGGCCUCGCGCAAUUAGAGCGGCCGAUACCUGAUUAGCUAGUUGGUGAGGUAAAGGCUCACCAAGGCAACGAUCAAUAGCUGGUCUGAGAGGACGAUCAGCCACACUGGGACUGAGACACGGCCCAGACUCCUACGGGAGGCAGCAGUGGGGAAUUUUGGACAAUGGGGGCAACCCUGAUCCAGCAAUGCCGCGUGAGUGAAGAAGGCCUUCGGGUUGUAAAGCUCUUUUGUCAGGGAAGAAACAGCAGCUCUAACACAGUUUGCGAAUGACGGUACCUGAAGAAUAAGCACCGGCUAACUACGUGCCAGCAGCCGCCGUAA
rnacentral:rRNA from 1 species